rnacentral:lncRNA from 1 species
UUUUACAAUGUUGAUCCUGCCAAUCCAUGAGCAUGGGAGAUCUUUCCAUCUUCUGAGAUCUUCUUUAAUUUCUUUCUUCAGAGAUUUGAGAAUAAACAGGCUGAGAAAGAAAUUAGGGAAACAACACCCUUCUCAAUAGUCACAAAUAAUAUAAAAUAUCUUGGCGUGACUCUAACUAAGGAGGUGAAAGAUCUGUAUGAUAAAAACUUCUUUGGCUUCUUAAAUGGAGAAUGAUUGGUUAGAGGGUGCAUUUUGAUUUUCUUCUUGCAAUAUGAUAUUUAGAAAAGACAUAUUCUUCCUGAGACUCAUUUGAACUCCUUGUCUCCCUGAAUUAGUAUUUCUUAUCACACUCUGUGAGACAAGGAACCAGUGACCUCUGGUCUCUUACUGUCCUCACUUCCCCAGGCUGGACAGGUAUCCAGUAUCUGCUCUCCUACUCCCUUUUGUUCUACGUUCUGUGUCUGUGUUCCCUGCCUUCUGCUAGAUAAGUGCCAUUACUGAAGGGCAUACUCCUCUUUUUUGACAUCAGGCUCUGAAUCUGUUCUCCUCCCUGCCUCUUUCUGAGCUCCACUGCUGCUGCUGCUGCUGCUGCUGCUGCUGCUGCUCUCCAUCCCCAGCUUCUCUUUGACUUUCAUCCUGUUGGACUCUGGACUUUUGUCUGUGCCAGUGACUGUGCUUCCUUCUUGCCUACUGCCUUCAUCCUUGGGUAGAGUUCCCUUGAAGAGCACUUCCUCUGUAGGUCUGGUAUUCUUGCCAUCCAUCACCUCAUGCCAUCAUCCUUGGGAGAGCCCCACAUAGCCAACUACUCUCUACUACUAAGGAGAAAUAUCUUUCGAUGGAGCUAAACUUGAUUCUGUCUGUAUCUAAACUCAGCUUUCUUUCUUUCUUUCUUCCUUCCUUCCUUCCUUCCUUCCUUCCUUCCUUCCUUCCUUCCUUCCUUUCUUUCUUUCUUUCUUUCUUUCUUUCUUUCUUUCUUUCUCAGGACCAUAUGUCUUCUCUGUCAGAGAAACCAGAACCUUUAGACUCCUUUAGACUACUGCAGGUUUUUUUCAUUACCCUCCAAUCUCAGUUACUUAUCAAAAUGAAAUCUUUAGAUUUAUCCUGAAAUGUGGCCUGUCACACCCCCUGCCCCCCCCACAUUAUAAUGACCAUGACAGGUGCCAUGCCUCUCUUCUCCUCACAGCACCCUAGGUGGGCCCCAUAUGAAUUAUCAUAGAACACAGCUAUCUUCACACUAUUUUCUCAUCGCAGAACUGUAAUAGCUUCCUGCUGUUUACAGAGAAAUGUGAGGAAUGGGGAAAGAGCUGUCAACCUGGCAUUCAAGGCUUCCAUAUCUCAACAAAUGUAUUAUACUUUCCCUUGUUCUUAGCUUGAACUCUUCAUAUACCAUGUACUUAUUCCAUUGUGUAACACACGCAUACAUAUGCGCAUGUAUACAUACAUAUACACAUAGGCACACUUGUGCUACUUGAAGUAAAUAAAAAAAAUUAAUGCUUUGUGGUUUCAAAAUAGUCAAAACAAAGUAUUAGACACCGUACAGGUAGAAAUAUAUGAAAAUUAUUUUGCAGUGUAGUCUGUUGUUUUGAUCUUUCAGUGUUUGGCUACAGCUUUCGCAGGAGCAAUUUAUUUACUUUAUUGGAUUACUGGGGCUUUGGUUAUCAUUGUAAGUAAGCUUGGAUUUGCCAGCAUAAGGCAACAGUCAACAAAAACUGACCUCUCCCCUCACAUUUGACAUUUAAAGCAAUAGCUAAGUAUGUAUAUCUGUAUAUAUGUGUAGUACUCCUGUGUAUGUGAUAGCUGAAGAUACCACCUAACCAUAUGGAAUCAAGCUGUCAGAUUCUUGUGUAGCUUACCGAGGGUUACAUGUUUUUCCAAAAUACUGGACAAUUCUCGAUGACAUAUGAACAUUGCCAAUUCAGUCUUCCUUUGAUUGACAUGGAAAUUGAAUAUUCAUAUAUUAAUUCUGUAUAAAUAUCUGUGAGCUCUAGAAAUGAUAGAUUUAUUCCUGUAUAGAACAUCUCACUUGAAAGUCACAGGAAAGUAUGUUACAAAACAUGCAGCCUUCACAACCUGCAUUCUGUACAGAGAUUGAUACCUGCUAAUGAAUUAGUCAAGAAAAAAAUGCCUCUGUUGUCUAUGGCAAUAUCGCUCUGAAUAUACUUACCCUUAUCUGGAUACUCUUGUGUGCUUCGAAAGUCAGGGAGCUCCAAGAGUCAUGCAUGUAGCAUCUAUUCUUGUCUUAGAAGGUAUGUUUCUAGUAGCAAAUGUCAACUAUCUGAUCAAGCUCUGCUACAUGUGCUAUAGUAUCGGCCCUCUUCCUUGAGGAAUCCAGGAAUGUUACUGGAUACAGUGGCCAUAGCUUUGUAUCUUUGUAUCUUUGUCAUUUCUGCUUACUUUGCUCUCCUGUCAGUCAGGCUAGGCUAACUCUUCAAUAUUUCUGUAGCUCGAUAUGAUUAAAUCUAAUAUGCUACAUAUCCAAUAUGGCUGGUGAAAACUGCCCAGCCUAAUUACUCAGAGACUCAUGAUGAUAGGGCAGUACUCAUCCUUGAGAUGAUGUGAAAAGGGGACACAGCAAAGGACACAGUUCUUUUUGGCCCCCUCCCUCACCACUCCUGCAGGAGACACAAGUCACUGUUCCCAAUUUAGUAACAAAGUGAGUUGAAAUGAUCAUGAUUAUGAUCAAAGUCUGAGUAAGAAAGAAAACCAGGACACCAUGUUAUGUACAAACAGAUCAGCCCUGAUAGGAUACAAAGUUACCCUUUCUUUGAGUCAUCCUUAUCUUCUUGGAGAUCUGUCCUUGGAACUUUGGGAGAAUGACAGGCAAUGGAAAAUUCUCUAUUUGAAUCCCACAGCUAGAAAACUGCUAGCAGGGGGCAGUUCAUCUACAUAGUAAUAAGGCAGGCUGAACAAUAGACCAGUAAACACCAACCACAGGGCACUUCCUAAUUAGAUUUUAAAAUUACUUAAGGAAAGAAAUAUAUGUCCCCACCCCUCUUUUUUACUUUGCUUAGGAAAAUAUUCAGGCGUGCUUUGCUUUUUACAUUCAUUGAUAGGAUAAUGCUUGGUGAAACAUAUGUAGUGUAUACUGAAAUGUGUAAUGGGUACUUUUUUCAAAUGAAUCCACUGACUCCCUCAACCACCCUAGGAGAAGAAGGUCCCUACUUUCAUGGAUAGAAUGGAAAGCCAGGUUUAGAGAGAUAAAGAAUGACCUAGCCUCAUAACUAGAGAGCCCUGUAACAGGGAUGCAGCCCAGUGGGUGUAAUAACUUGCUGUCACCUGAAUUCUUUAUUACCUAGUUACUUGAUACCUAUUCUUAAUAAAUUUUGCUUCACACUGAGCAGUAAGUUGUCCAUGGCUAAUGCAAGUUCAAACACAGAAGGCAUAUUAAUUCUGCAAACCUAAGAAACCAUUUUUUUUGGGCAGUCUAUCCAGGCAAAACAUUAGCUGAUAUGCAUAUGUGUCCAUAUAUUUAGGGGGAUAUUAGUUCUGUAUAUGCAUAUGUAUGUAAGUUAACAUUCCCCACCCACUCUCAUUAGUCCUUGUUUUUUGCUCGUUCUCCACUACAUCAUCCUUCCAUGUUUAGUUGGAAACUUCUCUUCUCCCUCCAGAAGUAAAAAAAAAACAAAA